rnacentral:rRNA from 1 species
AACGAACGCUGGCGGCAGGCCUAACACAUGCAAGUCGAGCGAGCAUUUCGGUGCUAGCGGCGGACGGGUGAGUAACGCGUGGGAACGUGCCCUUUUCUGCGGAAUAGUCCUGGGAAACUGGGGGUAAUACCGCAUACGCCCUUUUGAGGAAAGAUUUAUCGGAGAAGGAUCGGCCCGCGUUGGAUUAGGUAGUUGGUGGGGUAAUGGCCCACCAAGCCGACGAUCCAUAGCUGGUUUGAGAGGAUGAUCAGCCACACUGGGACUGAGACACGGCCCAGACUCCUACGGGAGGCAGCAGUGGGGAAUCUUAGACAAUGGGGGCAACCCUGAUCUAGCCAUGCCGCGUGAGUGAUGAAGGCCUUAGGGUUGUAAAGCUCUUUCAGCUGGGAAGAUAAUGACGGUACCAGCAGAAGAAGCCCCGGCUAACUCCGUG